GUUAGGAAUAUUCGUCAAUGGGGGAAACCCUGAACGAGCAAUGCCGCGUGAGUGAUGACGGUCUUUAUGAUUGUAAAACUCUGUUGUAUGGGAAGAACACUAGAUAUAGGAAAUGAUAUCUAGCUGACGGUACCAUGCCAGAAAGCCCCGGCUAACUACGUGCCAGCAGCCGCGGUAAUACGUAGGGGGCGAGCGUUAUCCGGAUUUAUUGGGCGUAAAGCGUGUGUAGGCGGUUUAUUAAGUAUAAGAUUAAAGCCUGGGGCUUAACUCCAGUUCGUCUUAUAAACUGGUAGACUUGAGUGUGGUAGAGGCAAAUGGAAUUUCUAGUGUAGCGGUAAAAUGCGUAGAUAUUAGAAGGAACACCGGUGGCGAAGGCGAUUUGCUGGGCCAUUACUGACGCUGAGACACGAAAGCGUGGGGAGCGAAUAGGAUUAGAAACCCGAGUAGUCC
rnacentral:rRNA from 1 species